rnacentral:rRNA from 1 species
GACGAACGCUGGCGGCGUGCCUAAUACAUGCAAGUCGAGCGGACAGAAGGGAGCUUGCUCCCGGAAGUUAGCGGCGGACGGGUGAGUAACACGUGGGCAACCUACCCUGUGGAUCGGGAUAACAUCGAGAAAUCGGUGCUAAUACUGGAUAAUCAUUUGAAGUGCAUGCUUCGAAUGUAAAAGAUGGCUCCGGCUAUCACUACGGGAUGGGCCCGCGGCGCAUUAGCUGGUUGGUAAGGUAAUGGCUUACCAAGGCAACGAUGCGUAGCCGACCUGAGAGGGUGAUCGGCCACACUGGGACUGAGACACGGCCCAGACGCCUACGGGAGGCAGCAGUAGGGAAUCUUCCGCAAUGGACGAAAGUCUGACGGAGCAACGCCGCGUGAGUGAUGAAGGUUUUCGGAUCGUAAAGCUCUGUUGUUAGGGAAGAACAAGUGCCGUUUGAAUAAGGCGGCACCUUGACGGUACCUAACCAGAAAGCCACGGCUAACUACGUGCCAGCAGUCGCCGUAACAC